rnacentral:rRNA from 1 species
CGCGUAGGUGGUAGUGUAAGUCCUGGGUGGAAUCCCAGGGCUUAACCCUGGAACUGGCCUUGGAAACUGUAUUACUUGAGUCAGUGAGGGGAGGGUAGAAUUCCUGGUGUAGCGGUGAAAUGCGUAGAUAUCAGGAGGAAGGCCUGUGGCGAAGGCGGCCCUCUGGCGCUGGACUGACACUGAGGCGCGAAAGCGUGGGGAGCAAGCAGGAUUAGAUACCCUGGUAGUCCACGCCCUAAACGGUGGGCACUAGGUGUAGGGCUCGUAAGGGUUCUGUGCCGAAGGGAAACCAUUAAGUGCCCCGCCUGGGGAGUACGGCCGCAAGGUUGAA